GAAUAUUGGUCAAUGGACGAGAGUCUGAACCAGCCAAGUAGCGUGAAGGAUGACUGCCCUAUGGGUUGUAAACUUCUUUUAUAUGGGAAUAAAGUAUUCCACGUGUGGGAUUUUGUAUGUACCAUAUGAAUAAGGAUCGGCUAACUCCGUGCCAGCAGCCGCGGUAAUACGGAGGAUCCGAGCGUUAUCCGGAUUUAUUGGGUUUAAAGGGAGCGUAGGUGGAUUGUUAAGUCAGUUGUGAAAGUUUGCGGCUCAACCGUAAAAUUGCAGUUGAAACUGGCAGUCUUGAGUACAGUAGAGGUGGGCGGAAUUCGUGGUGUAGCGGUGAAAUGCUUAGAUAUCACGAAGAACUCCGAUUGCGAAGGCAGCUCACUAGACUGCAACUGACACUGAUGCUCGAAAGUGUGGGUAUCAAACAGGAUUAGAUACCCUGGUAGUCCACACAGUAAACGAUGAAUACUCGCUGUUUGCGAUAUACAGUAAGCGGCCAAGCGAAAGCGUUAAGUAUUCCACCUGGGGAGUACGCCGGCAACGGUGAAACUCAAAGGAAUUGACGGGGGCCCGCACAAGCGGAGGAACAUGUGGUUUAAUUCGAUGAUACGCGAGGAACCUUACCCGGGCUUAAAUUGCAGAUGAAUUACGGUGAAAGCCGUAAGCCGCAAGGCAUCUGUGAAGGUGCUGCAUGGUUGUCGUCAGCUCGUGCCGUGAGGUGUCGGCUUAAGUGCCAUAACGAGCGCAACCCUUGUUGUCAGUUACUAACAGGUUUUGCUGAGGACUCUGACAAGACUGCCAUCGUAAGAUGUGAGGAAGGUGGGGAUGACGUCAAAUCAGCACGGCCCUUACGUCCGGGGCUACACACGUGUUACAAUGGGGGGUACAGAGGGCCGCUACCACGCGAGUGGAUGCCAAUCCCAAAAACCUCUCUCAGUUCGGACUGGAGUCUGCAACCCGACUCCACGAAGCUGGAUUCGCUAGUAAUCGCGCAUCAGCCACGGCGCGGUGAAUACGUUCCCG
rnacentral:rRNA from 1 species